rnacentral:rRNA from 1 species
UACGGAGGGUGCAAGCGUUAUCCGGAUUCACUGGGUUUAAAGGGUGCGUAGGUGGGUUGGUAAGUCAGUGGUGAAAUCUCCGUGCUUAACAUGGAAACUGCCAUUGAUACUACUGAUCUUGAAUUUUCCGGAGGUAAGCGGAAUAUGUCAUGUAGCGGUGAAAUGCUUAGAUAUGGCAUAGAACACCAAUUGCGAAGGCAGCUUACUACAGGGACAUUGACACUGAGGCACGAAAGCGUGGGGAUCAAACAGG